rnacentral:rRNA from 1 species
GAUGAACGCUGGCGGCGUGCCUAAUACAUGCAAGUCGAGCGAACAGACGAGGAGCUUGCUCCUCUGACGUUAGCGGCGGACGGGUGAGUAACACGUGGAUAACCUACCUAUAAGACUGGGAUAACUUCGGGAAACCGGAGCUAAUACCGGAUAAUAUAUUGAACCGCAUGGUUCAAUAGUGUAAGACGGUUUUGCUGUCACUUAUAGAUGGAUCCGCGCCGCAUUAGCUAGUUGGUAAGGUAACGGCUUACCAAGGCAACGAUGCGUAGCCGACCUGAGAGGGUGAUCGGCCACACUGGAACUGAGACACGGUCCAGACUCCUACGGGAGGCAGCAGUAGGGAAUCUUCCGCAAUGGGCGAAAGCCUGACGGAGCAACGCCGCGUGAGUGAUGGAGGUCUUCGGAUCGUAAAACUCUGUUAUUAGGGAAGAACAAAUGUGUAAGUAACUAUGCACGUCUUGACGGUACCUAAUCAGAAAGCCACGGCUAACUACGUG